AUUGAACGCUGGCGGCAUGCCUUACACAUGCAAGUCGAACGGCAGCACGGGAGCAAUCCUGGUGGCGAGUGGCGAACGGGUGAGUAAUAUAUCGGAACGUGCCCAGUCGUGGGGGAUAACGCAGCGAAAGCUGUGCUAAUACCGCAUACGAUCUACGGAUGAAAGCGGGGGAUCGCAAGACCUCGCGCGAUUGGAGCGGCCGAUAUAAGAUUAGCUAGUUGGUGAGGUAAAGGCUCACCAAGGCGACGAUCUGUAGCUGGUCUGAGAGGACGACCGGCCACACUGGAACUGAGACACGGUCCAGACUCCUACGGGAGGCAGCAGUGGGGAAUUUUGGACAAUGGGCGCAAGCCUGAUCCAGCAAUGCCGCGUGCAGGAUGAAGGCCUUCGGGUUGUAAACUGCUUUUGUACGGAACGAAACGGUGAGCUCUAAUACAGUUUGCUAAUGACGGUACCGUAAGAAUAAGCACCGGCUAACUACGUGCCAGCAGCCGCCGUAAUAC
rnacentral:rRNA from 1 species